rnacentral:rRNA from 1 species
CCUACGGGAGGCAGCAGUGAGGAAUAUUGGUCAAUGGGCGGGAGCCUGAACCAGCCAAGCCGCGUGAGGGAAGAAGGUACAGCGUAUCGUAAACCUCUUUUGUCAGGGAACAAAGGCGGGGACUAGUCCCCGUAUGAGGGUACCUGAAGAAAAAGCAUCGGCUAACUCCGUGCCAGCAGCCGCGGUAAUACGGAGGAUGCGAGCGUUAUCCGGAUUUAUUGGGUUUAAAGGGUGCGCAGGCGGCCUGUUAAGUCAGCGGUAAAAGCCCGGGGCUCACCCCCGGCGAGCCGUUGAAACUGGCGGGCUGGAGUUGGAGAGAAGUACGCGGAAUGCGCGGUGUAGCGGUGAAAUGCUUAGAUAUCGUGCAGAACCCCGAUUGCGAAGGCAGCGUACCGGCUCCACACUGACGCUGAGGCACGAAAGCGUGGGUAUCGAACAGGAUUAGAUACCCCAGUAGUC